rnacentral:rRNA from 1 species
UACAGAGGGGGCAAGCGUUGUUCGGAAUUACUGGGCGUAAAGGGCGCGUAGGCGGCCCGCUAAGUCGAACGUGAAAUCCCCGAGCUCAACUCGGGAACUGCGUCCGAUACUGGUGGGCUUGAAUCCGGCAGAGGGCAGUGGAAUUCCGGGUGUAGUGGUGGAAUGCGUAGAGAUCCGGAGGAACACCAGUGGCGAAGGCGGCUGCCUGGGACGGUACUGACGCUGAGGCGCGAAAGCGUGGGGAGCAAACAGG